rnacentral:rRNA from 1 species
GGAGCUUGCUUUAUAUAACUUAGCAGCGAACGGGUGAGUAACACGUAGAUAAUCUAUCCUAUACUGGGGGAUAGCCCGAUGAAAGUUGGAUUAAUACCGCAUAUAGCUAUAUAGUUGCAUGAUUAUGUAGUGAAAGAUUUAUUGGUAUAGGAGGAGUCUGCGGCACAUUAGCUAGUAGGUGAGGUAAAGGCUUACCUAGGCGACGAUGUGUAGCCGGUCUGAGAGGAUGAACGGCCACAAUGGAACUGAGACACGGUCCAUACUCCUACGGGAGGCAGCAGUGGGGAAUAUUGCACAAUGGGGGAAACCCUGAUGCAGCAACGCCGCGUGAGUGAAGAAGGUUUUCGGAUUGUAAAGCUCUGUUAGCAGGGAAGAGGAAGGACGGUACCUGCAGAGGAAGCCACGGCUAACUACGUGCCAGCAGCCGCGGUAAUACGUAGGUGGCAAGCGUUGUUCGGAAUAACUGGGCGUAAAGGAUGCGUAGGCGGUUAAACAAGUUAUAUGUUAAAUAUAUAGGCUUAACCUGUAGAAAGCAUAUAAAACUGUUUAACUAGAGUGCAGGAGAGGUAAGUGGAAUUCCUAGUGUAGCGGUGAAAUGCGUAGAGAUUAGGAAGAACACCAGUGGCGAAGGCGACUUACUGGACUGUAACUGACGCUGAGGCAUGAGAGCAUGGGGAGCAAACAGGAUUAGAUACCCUGGUAGUCCAUGCUGUAAACGAUGGGUACUAGGUGUGGGUUGUGAAUAACAAUUCGUGCCGUCGCAAACGCAAUAAGUACCCCGCCUGAGGAGUA